rnacentral:rRNA from 1 species
AUGUGGCACACCGAGCCAGGACAAUUCUAUGGCCUUCGAGCUGAAAUGAGUAUAUGGGCUUCACCAAAUCAAGAAACCUCUCAAGAAUCUGGAGCAUUCUUACAUAUUUAUUGUCAAGAUGGAGGACACUACAAAUUAAUUCAAGUUGAAUUCCACAUUUCCCCCUCUUUGUACAAUAACAGAGAUAUUCGCUUCUUUACAUAUUGGACUAAGGACUUGAAAUCCAAGGGGUGCUACAACUCACAAUGCGCGGGAUAUGUACCUGCAAGUGGAGUGGAGCUGGUGCCUGGACAAGCCAUUGCUCCUCCAUCAGUUUAUGGCAUACAAGAUCACUACAUCAGGCUUAGCAUCAACAAGGAUCCAAAUUCUGGAGAUUGGGUGGUGCACCGUCAUGAUUUAGAAAAACCAUCAUUCUUGGGACAUUUUCCAAAGGAGCUUUGCCUUGGAACAAAACGUAUACAAGCAUUGACCAAAUUUGUGAAUUACUUAAAGAAUGCACAUGGUCCUCCAAUGGGUAGUGGACACUUCCCUGAUUAUGAUGAGAAGAAAUCUACCUACUUCAACCACAUUAAGAAGUACAACUCCAAGGGUCAAGCUUUUGACCCCUUUUCGACUAAGGUGGCCAAGUUAGUUGAUAGGCCAGAUUGUUAUGAUGCAAAUGAUUUAUUUCUUGAAUUUAAGAAGGGUUAUACAUUCAAUUAUGGUGGACCAAGUGGUUGUAUUGGUUGA